rnacentral:rRNA from 1 species
GAUGAACGCUGGCGGCGUGCCUAAUACAUGCAAGUCGAGCGAACAGAUGAGGAGCUUGCUCCUCUGACGUUAGCGGCGGACGGGUGAGUAACACGUGGAUAACCUACCUAUAAGACUGGGAUAACUUCGGGAAACCGGAGCUAAUAACGGAUAAUAUAUUGAACCGCAUGGUUUAAUAGUGAAAGACGGUUUUGCUGUCACUUAUAGAUGGAUCCGCGCCGCAUUAGCUAGUUGGUAAGGUAACGGCUUACCAAGGCAACGAUGCGUAGCCGACCUGAGAGGGUGAUCGGCCACACUGGAACUGAGACACGGUCCAGACUCCUACGGGAGGCAGCAGUAGGGAAUCUUCCGCAAUGGGCGAAAGCCUGACGGAGCAACGCCGCGUGAGUGAUGAAGGUCUUCGGAUCGUAAAACUCUGUUAUUAGGGAAGAACAAAUGUGUAAGUAACUAUGCACGUCUUGACGGUACCUAAUCAGAAAGCCACGGCUAACUACGUG